GGACUACUGGGGUAUCUAAUCCUGUUUGCUCCCCACGCUUUCGCGCCUCAGCGUCAGUCAAGGACCAGGUCGCCGCCUUCGCCACCGGUGUUCUUCCCAAUAUCUACGAAUUUCACCUCUACACUGGGAAUUCCACGACCCUCUUCCCCACUCCAGACCAGACGUAUCAAGCGCAGCCCCCAGGUUGAGCCCAGGAAUUUCACGCCUGACUAUCCGAUCCGCCUACGCGCCCUUUACGCCCAGUCAUUCCGAGCAACGCUAGCCCCCUUCGUAUUACCGCGGCUGCUGGCAC
rnacentral:rRNA from 1 species